rnacentral:other from 2 species
CGUCGUCUGCCGCGUUCGUCAGUGGGCCCGGUCACCUCUUGAGCCUAAUUUCGAGACCCCGGGAGCCCACCCGAGACACUGUUGUGCAGGUCCGCCAUGGCAGCGGAAAGCCUGAUGUGUCUCGCCAGGCCCCCUCUUGAACCGUUUCGGUUCAAGGGUCACGGCUCACAACGGCGCAGGCGGAUGGCGU